rnacentral:rRNA from 1 species
AGUGAACGCUGGCGGUAGGCCUAACACAUGCAAGUCGAACGGCAGCACAGUAAGAGCUUGCUCUUACGGGUGGCGAGUGGCGGACGGGUGAGGAAUACAUCGGAAUCUACUUUUUCGUGGGGGAUAACGUAGGUAAACUUACGCUAAUAUCGCAUACGACCUACGGGUGAAAGCAGUGGAUCUUCGGACCUUUCGCGAUUGAAUGAGCCGCUGUCGGAUUAGCUAGUUGGCGGGGUAAAGGCCCACCAAGGCGACGAUCCGUAGCUGGUCUGAGAGGAUGAUCGGCCACAUUGGAACUGGGACACGGACAAGACUACUGAGGGAGGGAGCAGUGGGGAAUAGUAGGCAAAGGGCGCAAGCCUGAUCCAGCCAGACCGCGUGGGAGAAGAAGGCGUUCGGGUUGGAAAGACCUUUUGUUGGGAAAGAGAAGCAGCAGGUUAAUACCCCGCUGUUCUGACGGUACCCAAAGAAUAAGCACCGGCUAACUUCGUG